UACAGAGGUCCAAGGCGUUGUUCGGAUUCAUUGGGCGUAAAGGGUGUGUAGGUGGCGCCGUAAGUCGGGUGUGAAAUUCGGAGCUUAACUCCGAACUGCAUUCGAUACUGCGGUGCUUGAGGACUGGAGAGGAGACUGGAAUUCAUGGUGUAGCAGUGAAAUGCGUAGAGAUCAUGAGGAAGACCGUGGCGAAGGCGGGUCGUCUGGACAAGU
rnacentral:rRNA from 1 species